rnacentral:rRNA from 1 species
CCUACGGGAGGCAGCAGUGGGGAAUCUUGCGCAAUGGGCGAAAGCCUGACGCAGCAACGCCGCGUGCGGGAAGAAGGCUCUCGGGUUGUAAACCGCUUUCAGCAGGAACGAAAAUGACGGUACUUGCAGAAGAAGGUGCGGCCAACUACGUGCCAGCAGCCGCGGUGACACGUAGGCACCAAGCGUUGUCCGGAUUUAUUGGGCGUAAAGAGCUCGUAGGCGGUUCGGUAAGUCAGGUGUGAAAACUUUGGGCUCAACCCAAAGCCUGCAUCUGAUACUGCUGUGACUAGAGUUCGGUAGGGGAGCGGGGAAUUCCUAGUGUAGCGGUGAAAUGCGCAGAUAUUAGGAGGAACACCGGUGGCGAAGGCGCCGCUCUGGGCCGAAACUGACGCUGAGGAGCGAAAGCGUGGGUAGCAAACAGGAUUAGAUACCCUGGUAGUCCACGCCGUAAACGUUGGGCACUAGGUGUGGGUCUCAACCAACGAGAUCCGNGCCGUCGCUAACGCAUUAAGUGCCCGCCUGGGGAGACGCGCAGUAACGUAAGAGUAGAGNNGNGAGNGCGAGACGACGACGAGGAGAG